UACGGAGGGUGCAAGCGUUGUCCGGAUUUAUUGGGUUUAAAGGGUGCGUAGGCGGCUAAUUAAGUCAGCGGUGAAAUUCCAGAGCUCAACUCUGUGAACUGCCAUUGAUACUGGUUGGCUUGAGUACAGAUGAGGUAGGCGGAAUUGACAGUGUAGCGGUGAAAUGCUUAGAUAUUGUCAAGAACACCUAUUGCGAAGGCAGCUUACUAAACUGUAACUGACGCUGAGGCACGAAAGCGUGGGGAUCAAACAGG
rnacentral:rRNA from 2 species